CAGAACGUCGUGAGACAGUUCGGUCCCUAUCUGCCGUGGGUGUAGGAGAAUUGAGUGGAGUUGCCCCUAGUACGAGAGGACCGGGGUGAACGGACCACUGGUGGACCUGUUGUGGCGCCAGCCGCAGUGCAGGGUAGCUAUGUUCGGAAAGGAUAACCGCUGAAGGCAUCUAAGCGGGAAGCCCCCCACAAAACAAGUUCUCCCUGAGAACCGUGGAAGACCACCACGUCGAUAGGCCGGAGAUGUAAGUGCAGCAAUGCAUUCAGUUGACCGGUACUAAUUGUCCGAUAGGCUUGAU
rnacentral:rRNA from 1 species